ensembl:snoRNA
GAUGCCGGGCCUGCCGGCACCACGGACGCAGCUCCUCGGCUGCGCCUGGGACCUUGGGGCGGAGAGGAAGCGGCUAUUUCUACGCUCAGUGCUCAGAACAGUGGGCACUAAGAAUGGUUUGUAGCCGAACAGGC